rnacentral:rRNA from 1 species
CUACGGGGGGCAGCAGUGAGGAAUAUUGCACAAUGGGGGGAACCCUGAUGCAGCAACGCCGCGUGGAGGAUGACGCAUUUCGGUGUGUAAACUCCCUUUAUAUGUCAAGAAAAUGACGGUAGCAUAUGAAUAAGCACCGGCUAACUCCGUGCCAGCAGCCGCGGUAAUACGGAGGGUGCAAGCGUUACUCGGAAUCACUGGGCGUAAAGGACGCGUAGGCGGGUUGGAAAGUCAGGUGUGAAAUCCUACAGCUUAACUGUAGAACUGCACUUGAAACUUCUAAUCUAGAGUAUGGGAGGGGGAGAUGGAAUUAGUGGUGUAGGGGUAAAAUCCGUAGAUAUCACUAGGAAUACCUAAAGCGAAGGCGAUCUCCUGGAACAUUACUGACGCUAAGGCGCGAAAGCGUGGGGAGCAAACAGGAUUAGAUACCCCCGUAGUC